rnacentral:sRNA from 1 species
UGACCGCAAGUUGCUGGGAGCUCCAGGCAGGAGUGGCACAGCUGGUGAGUGAGCUGUUAUAACUACAUAUGCCUUGCUGCCUGACUGGAUCAGAAGUGGAUUCAGCAAAGUGUGCCCUCGAACCCCUGGGGGGGCUUCGUGUGUUCCUUUUUUGGUGGUGAUGUGUACUUGUAUGUACAUGUACCUAGGUAUGUAUGUACUGUACAAACAUGGAGCCCCAUUCCAAUAUGCUGCGUCUAGCCCAAGGGUGCGUCUGCGGCUUGUGAGAAAAGGAAAAAAAAAAGUCGAACAAUCAAUAAGUAACUACUUGAAAGAUAAGCAAAAUGAUGGGUAGAUCAGCUGGAACACUAGUUAGCCAUCGGGAGGACGUUUCUAUCGCCGUCCUUCUGGCUAACUUUUUUUUCAGGGUCCAUAUGUUUCAUAUGGGGAUAAUUGCUGAAAGUUGACGUUCUGGGUGAAUUUUGGACGUCCAAUAUGUGUUUGUGUGUGUGUGUGUGUGUGAAGACAUAUUUGCUGCUCCCACAUCUCCAGAGGAUCCUUUGAAGUACAGAGAACGAGAAGCAAUUCCUAAGUCGCAACCAGACCGGCCGAGUCGCAUAGCCAUUGCGCGUUGCCAGCGUGAGGCUCAACGAAUGCUCAUGCACGCCAUCGCGGAACCAUAUAUCCCCUUUCUUCUUUCGCUUCCUCAAAUCCUUUUUAGCCAGACAAUUGGCUGUCAUUAGCUUUAUCUAGAGGGCUUCCUAGGCACCUUGGUCCAGGGCAAAACUCAGCAUGGAAGCCGUGGCAUGUUGCAAUAACUCGAGAGCAGCAGCACUUGGGCUGGAGCUGGUCAGAAAUCUCAGGGGCAUAGUUGGCAAGCCCUCUUCGCUUGGAGAGACAUGCAGAUAGAGAGGAUUCCGGAAGCUCCAUUUCUCAGAAUCUCCCAUCUUUUUUUUUUUUUUUUGAGCAUCCGCUGUCAUCCACCACAAGCAAAACGCGUUGCGCAUGCUGACUUGCAGCGAGUUUGCAAGCUCGACAUGUAACUGCAAGUCGCGGUAGGGUCCGCCGGGGACGUGCCGGCCAAGAGGAGAGCAGGAGAAGAAAAUGGUGACGGGGACAGAGAGAAUUGCCAGCCUAUGAGGAGUUGUUCUUGAUGCGGUGAAGGGCGACUAGUAGGGUUUGAAAAGUUAGCUGCUGGAGAGGGUGUUUUUGUUUUUUUAAAAAAAAAAAUUUUUUUGAGGGGGGAGGAUGAUGAUUCUAUGACAAUGUUGUGGCCUGAAUGAAUGGCUGGGAAAUUUGUUGUCUCUUGUUUUGAGAUAUAGAUGUAUAUGUAUAUGAGGUAACGAUAUCGCG